GGUACAUGGGGUCAUGCGGCGGCUGGAAUACAGAGGGGGGAAGCGUUAAUCGGAAUUACUGGGCGUAAAGCGCGCGUAGGUGGUUUGUUAAGUUGGAUGUGAAAUCCCCGUGCUCAACCUGGGAACUGCAUCCAAAACUGGCAAGCUAGAGUAUGGUAGAGGGUGGUGGAAUUUCCUGUGUAGCGGUGAAAUGCGUAGAUAUAGGAAGGAACACCAGUGGCGAAGGCGACCACCUGGACUGAUACUGACACUGAGGUGCGAAAGCGUGGGGAGCAAACAGGAUUAGAUACCCUAGUAGUC
rnacentral:rRNA from 1 species